rnacentral:sRNA from 1 species
GGGUUACUCCCUGGCGCUCUCGCGCUGUUUUGAUGAAGAUUCGCACCUCUAUCAAAACGGGUAACCCCACCCUUUGGCAAGGCCCUGCUGUCAGAUCAAGUCUGAACUUCUACAAUUUAGCUUCUGCUUUCCAGUGGCGCAGAUACGGCAAACGAUGCUUCACCGGGCUCAGCAGCAAUGACUCCGGCCGACAUGGCACAAUGCGUCGGCAGAACUCAGCUU